AAUAGAUUGCCUGAAUAAUAAAGGAUUAUUUUGAUAGAAUAAAUUAUACAAUACUAUGUAUCUAUUA
rnacentral:tRNA from 1 species